AUUACUUCGGUUUGAAGUUCUUUAUGACUGAGUGGCGGACGGGUGAGUAACGCGUGGGUAACCUGCCUUGUACUGGGGGAUAGCAGCUGGAAACGGCUGCUAAUACCGCAUAAGCGCACAGUACCGCAUGGUACGGUGUGAAAAACUCCGGUGGUGUGAGAUGGACCCGCGUCUGAUUAGCUAGUUGGCAGGGUAGCGGCCUACCAAGGCGACGAUCAGUAGCCGACCUGAGAGGGUGACCGGCCACAUUGGGACUGAGACACGGCCCAGACUCC
rnacentral:rRNA from 1 species